GCAGCAGCUCCUACCCCAUCUUCUCCAUCUUACCCAUAAUGGGAUGCACAUUUGGCCUUUUCCAGGCCCCAGAUAACUCCCACGAUGAAGGGAAGAUUAUUUUUCAAGAUGGUCUUCAGAGAUUUCUUUUAACAUUCCCCAGCAUGCUGUGUCUGGACCUGCAGAUUUACAGUAUGUGGGUUGAGUUUUGUCAGAUACUCUUUUACCAUCUCUGUGUUUAUCCUUUACUCUUGGCCUCUCCAGCUGCUCUCUCAUAAAUCCUCUGCUUUCUGCACAAGAAUCCCCAAUUUCUUCAUUAUCAUUACUGAAACGAAGCAAGAGUGGCUUCCUCCAGCCCGAGCCGCCCUAGAGCUGGCCCAGCUCAGCCUUCCUUGCUGCAGGACUUAGAUUUAUUCUCCAAUUCCUCUGCCCUUCUGUUCCUGUUUUUAAAUAAAAAUACUAAUGCAUGAACACUGCAGCGUGACUAGAGCAAAGCUGUCCCCAUGGAAAGUGUUUAAAAUGCACGGCUCAGACAUCCACUGUAUAUUACAGAUGUGCAUUACUUUGUCACCUGCUCACCUCCACGUGGACCUGGUGUGCUCAUAUUUCUGAUAGAUUAAAUGAGUAGGUCACAGCUCUGCCCACAUUUAUGGGCGGUUUUCUUUUUUCUGUUGUCUUCGUUCUCUCCUAUGAUUUUGAUGCUUUUCUUUUUGCUAUCUCAGUGCUGCAUUCCUUGUCUCCGUGGACCAGCAGGCUACUUAUGGGCUGCUAUUUGCUGGAUUGAUGGGCUGAGGCCAGUGGGAUGAAGUUCAACAAGACCAGGUGCCAGAUCCUGCACUUCGAUAACAACAAGUAACAACAAUCCCAUGCAAUGCUACAGGUGUGGGGUAGAGUGGAUGGAAAGGCUGCGCAGGUGAAAAGGAUCUGGAUGUGCAAGCUGACGGCUGCUGAACAUGAGCCAGCAGUGUGCCCAGGUGGCCAAGUAGGCAUCCUCGCUUGUAUCAGCAAUAGUGCAGCCAGCAGGGGCAGGAGGUGAUGGUCCCUCGAUGUGCUCGGCCACAUCUCAAGUGCUGCUUUCAGCUCUUGGCUCCUCAAUACAAGAAAAACAUCAAGGUCCCAGAGCAUGUCCUGAGAAGGACACUGCAGCUGUGAAUGGUCUGGAGCACAAGUGUUACUGGGAAUGACUGAGGGAACUGGGAUUGUUCAGUCCGGAGAAGAAGAGGCUCAGGGGAGACAUCAUCACUAUACAGUGCCCUGCGAGGAGGUUGUGGUGAGGUGGGGGUCAGCCUCUUCUCCCUGCUAACAGUGAUAGGAUGGGAGGUGAAGGCCUUAAGUUGCACCAGGAGAAGUUCAGGUUGGAUAUUAGGAACAAUUUCUUCUCCAAAGGAGUGGUGAUAUGCUGGCACAAGACGCCCAGGGAGGUGGUGGAGUCACAAUCCUUGGAGGUGUUCAUAGAACGUGGAGAUGCAGCACAGAGGGAUGUGGUUAGAGGACAACAUUGGUGGUGGGUGGAGGGUUGGACUAGAUAAUCUUAGUGGCCUUUUCCAACCUUAAUGAUUCCACAAUUCUAUGACUCUGUGCAAGCAGGAGGUGAUGGAUGGCACCACCACGCUCUGAGGAUGUCCUGCCACAGAAGGAGGAAGAACAUCCAGCCUGAGGCUUAGUGGAGAGAAUCUGAUGCUGCCAACCAUUUUCUGUUGGUCACUGUGAGCUUGGUUCUGAGGGAUGCCGAGCAAUGGGUCAUAACUUCAGCACAGUACCUGACCUACAUGUCCGGCACAGAUGUGAAGCAGUGUUUGCUAUAGGCUCUCCAUUAAUUCCCCCAGCUGCAGCACCAGGCGCUGCUGUGGAGCAGUGAUGUUGGAGGCGUACUGUGCAUUGCAGUUAAUGAAGAGCAAAACUGAACUGCACUUCCAAACAAGAGGACUUUCCUGCCACUGUGGAACUUCAUACAUGUCCUUAUCCCCAUGUGGAAGCUCUGCAUGGCUGCCACGUGCAGGAAGACUCGGGACCUGCAGAUCCAGCAACACGGGCACCACCUUCAACUGCUCCCCAUUCCCACCCUUUUGCUGGAGGUGUUCAAGAUCCAUGGAGAUGUGGCACUGAAGGACAUGAGUAGUGGGCAUGGUGUGGAUGGGUUGGUGUACUGGAUAAGCUCACAGGUCUUUUCCAACCGUAAUGAUUAUGUGAUCCCCAUCCACCCUCCAUUUUUUUGCCCAUCCACGUUUUGUCCAUGGGAUUGUUCAUGGAUAUGCCUGUCACGUUCCCCUUUGCUUCUUAAAAAAUAUACCCCCAAAAAAACCUUGUUUUCUUAUUCCGAUUUUCCAGAUCACCAGAAUUAGUGCAUCUUUUUUUCCUCGUGCUGCUUUUCCAAAGUUGAGGAAAUUUGGCCCCAUUCCAGAUGGAAAAGUCAGGAGGCAGCCCCCACCCACCCUCCAUCUGCUGUGCUCAGAGCAGGAACCGCUCACGGGAGGAGAUGGGGAAUAACACACCCAACUUCUCAACUUUCUGAUUUCAGCAAAACAGAGACAUGUUCUUAAUAAAGAAAAAAAAAAAAGCCAACAUGAGGAGAACAU